CUUGAUGUUGUGUACAAUGCAUCUAACAAUGAGUUGGUCCGUACUCAAACAUUGGUGAAGAGUGCCAUUGUUCAGGUUGAUGCAGCACCAUUCAAGCAGUGGUACCUCCAGCACUAUGGAGUUGAAAUUGGCCGCAAGAAGAAAACUGCUGCCGCUGCCAAGAAAGAAGCAGAGGUAGAACUUUGUUUUUUAUUUUUCCAAUGAUUUAAGUUUUUUUAUGUGUGUUAUCGCUGGACUUGUCUUUUGUGUUUUUACAUAUUUGGUGAAUUUUUAUUGUUUCUGCAUCUAGAGGAAAUAUAAUGGUUUAUACAUUGGUUUGAUGUGUUCACAUGGUGGAAACAAUUAUAUUUUGUGUAUGCUAUGCACGCUGAUAACAAAUUGAUUGGAAGAUGUUUAUGUACAUGUUUGUACUCUUUGAAAUGGAGGAGCAGAAUGUUGUCAAGAACAGUAGAAUUUACGGUCUCUGAUGCCGUGUUUUGUGAUCAUAUAGGAUGGUGAGGCACCUGCUGCUGCUGCUGAGGAGGCAAAGAAGAGCAACCAUGUAGCCAGAAAGCUGGAGAAGCGUCAACAGACUCGCACCUUGGACCAGCAUAUUGAAGAACAAUUUGGCGGUGGUCGUCUGUUGGCUUGUAUUUCAUCACGACCUGGU
rnacentral:lncRNA from 1 species